GGCAGGCGCUGCGGCGUCAGGAGUCCUGUGGUGGCGACGACGACGGAGCAGGAGCCAGUGGGCCGUUUGGAGCGAGGAGAAGCCGUAGCAGCCUCGGGAGCUGCAGCCGCCGCGGCGUUUGGGGAAUCUACCGGGCAGAUGAGUAACGAAAGAGGCUUUGAAAAUGUAGAACUGGGAGUCAUAGGAAAAAAGAAGAAAGUCCCAAGGAGAGUCAUCCACUUUGUUAGUGGCGAAACAAUGGAAGAAUACGGCACAGAUGAAGAUGAAGUCGACAGCCUGGAGAAGAAAGAUGUUUUGCCUACUGUUGAUCCGGUCUCACUCUGGCGCUAGUCUGGAGUGCAGUGGUAUGAUCUCAGCUCACUGCAACCUCUGUCUCCCGGAGUCAAGUGAUUUUCCUGCCUCAACCUCCCGACUAGGUUUCCGCAGGACAUAAAGAGGAUACUACAGAGUUGAUGAAUAAAUUAGAGCAGAGGAAGUUGCCAUCCAGAAUAUGCACAAAAUAAAUGUAUGCUAUACCUGAAACGGAAGCUAUUCAAGACAGAGUUCUAACGAUAAGUUCGUUCUAUGUUCUGUUUUUCUAAUGGAAAAAUUAGUCACACUUCAGUCCUUCUUCCUGUUUUUCUCUCCCUGACAGAGUUGGGGAUCUGUCCUUGGGAAAAAAAAAAUGGAAGAAUAUAGACAAUAAAAGAUCCAAUUUCUUGUAUUUUGACUUUCAAAAGUGAUGUUUCAAAAAUAAGAAAAGGUCUCAAAGAAUGCUUGACUGAUGUUCCCUUGCCCAGAAUAUAUGAAAGAGAAUGAAAGAAUAGAAAGGAAAGAGAACUGAAAUGUCAUUGGGAUUCCUGAGAAAGCACUCCACACCCUCCACUCCACAGAGAGUCCCAAAGUAUAUGAAAAAAUGGUUUCACCUAAGAGAACUGAUGUGAAUCUCAGACCCAGAGUAAGUGUAAGGGACAACAAAGUACCAGAGUGGUAGAGUACACAGCAGAAAAGUAGGGGGAUGGACUGAAGGUAGAAUUGGAGUCCUCCGUUCCUAUCAAGGUCAUGAAAGUCACGUGAGAGAGAGACAAUGAACAAAGACUACUCCAAGUUAAGACAACGUGGAAUAGCGGAGACAUGCAUGAACCAAUGGGAAUUAUUAUAUUUAAGUAUAUGCCAACAUAGAUAAAUGAAAACAACAGCACAUAUGCCAACUCCAUCCAAAUGCCACAGUGCUAUGCAAAUUGUGAUAUAUCAUUUAUAACCACUGGGGACGAGAGGUAUUCUGCAAUGACUAAGAAAUAGAAACAGACAUUGAAUCUGAUUAGAAUAAGUAAGUUAUGUUUCUCAUGCAUCUAUAUUUGUGACCAGAGACUCAUAGUUGUUCUAUUAAAGAUUCCCAAAUAAAUAAGAAAAAUUCUCAACAAAUGAGAAAAAAUACAUUAGAAAAAAAUGAGAAAUGAAGUGAGAAUGACAAAGACAACUCAGGAAUACAAGAAAAUACUAAUAACAAUUCAACUGGUAUUUUAAAAAGCAUUAAAAAAUACUCUAAUAAUACAAAAAUAGUUUUCAAUUAAAUACAUGAACAUUCAGAGUCUAGGACAUUUAAGUAUCAAGCAUGAAAUUAUUCAAUACAUAUAGGCUAGAAUAACAGUCUAAUAGAUCUUUCUUGCAAUAAGGCAGAUGGGUACUCCUUCUAGAUGUCUACAUUCUUAGUCAGAAGUCAGAAGACCUGAGAUUUUUUAUUUUACUUUGGCCAGGCAUUAAAGUCCAUCACUUUAAUUUUCAAGCAAGCUUCCAGAUAUGUCCACAGAAGAAACCAUGCAAAUGUGUUCUUUAUUGUUCAUUCAUUUAUGACCCAUUUGCCAGAUCAUACAGCAGGAUCUUUGGUUAAAGUACAGUAGUCUGUAAAAAUCCAAACGCUCCCCUAUGAAUGCCUAAAAAUUCUUCCCCUGCUAAUUCCACUGCUAUUGCCCUUGUAGAAACUCAACGUUGCUUUCUUCUUCAAGGCUUUACAAAACAGCCUCAUGGCCUUUAUUCUGUAUUCUCACUCUAGAGGCUCCUUUCAGUGGACGAAGGAGCCACCUUUUCCAUGACUGGGAGAGAAUCAUAAGAUCCAGACUACACAGUAUCCUUAGUGGGCUCUACUUUUGGUCUUAUAGUCAGUGAAGCAACUGCUAAUAUAAAGCAGUAGACUCCUCUGAAGUUACCCUCUUAGUAUCUUUCUAAUAUACCAUUUCUACUUGGUGAACAAGCUUUGCUAUGCUGCACUCUUCCUAUCUGAAUAUCCCUCUGAUAUCACCCAUGGCAUGAUCAGUAUUUCUGUCCUUGGAAUUUUCUGAUGCCCUUCAGUAGUGGGAGUGGUUUGAACCAACCCUCAGUAACAAUCUCACUUAUAUCUCUUGAAAUGAUGAACAACUCAGCAGUUUUAGCCAAACUCCAAGAGAACUCACUGGAUAGCCCUAUUCAGUUUCUGCAAAUUCCUGCAGACUGCAUAUGUACUGGUUACAACUUGAAAUAUUAUCUGAGCAGAUGGAUCGUAAGCGUCCAGUGAAAAUGUCUGUGCCAACACACUUGGUAUAUUUUUAACAGUUUUUUCUGCAAAAGCACCACUCAAAUUCAGAUUUAUUUUUAGUGAUGCUGUGGUUCAGGUCGUCAAGAUUAACAAGCAAAUAUGAUUCAAUCCAAACCCAAAAAGCCCUCCUAGUCUCUAAGUUUCUUGCCUAUUUCCAGUAUAUGGGAGAACCAGUAACUUACUUCUCAAAGUAGAAGGACGAUCUCUGGUUUUUCCAGUCUAUAUGAAUUCUUCAGAAUUUCACGGAUUGGACUGGACCUUAAAUUUUAGCAGGAUUUGUCAGCCAGCCUCUGUUUUUUAUCUAGGUGCCUCUGAUCUUUAGCUCAACCUGAUCUUUCUCUGAAGAGGCAAGUCUCAUACUGUCAGUGUAGCACACUGAUUUUCUAUUAGUGAUUUUUAACUCCAAAUCCUUCAUGAGAAUAUGGCAAAUGCUGGCUCCCAGCAUUCUCGUGCCUGACAUGGGACUCAUGGAUCCCUACAUUCUGGCACCCAAUGUGUGGGGCUCAUGGAUUCCCUACAAAUUACAAUGAAGGUAAUCAGAAACACCAACUUGUUUAAUCCUUGAUAUUGUUAACCUCUAGGAUCCAUCUGUCUUAUGUACUGACCAGACAAGACAUUGGAAAAGGGAGUUAAAGGGAACCAAAUUCUCUACUUCAACAAAUUUCCUUAAUCAGAACAAUCUAUUACUUCAAGAGAGUCUGUAUUUAUUGUAUACCACCAAAGAUGUCUCCAGUCAUAUUUCCCAUUAGCAAAUUUACCUCCACCCUGGUUUUAAGUGCCUUUUAGAGCAUCACCUGCAUACCCCACAGGGAUUACUGGACAUCUAGCUUGCAUAUCUGGUAACCCUAAGAAGUCUGCAUACCACCUCUAGAUCACUUCAUCCAAGCCAUUGCAAAACACCUAAGGCUUUCUUGUUUUACACUGUAAGGGAUAUUUUAAUUUUAUGGAAUUUUUGAAUUUUAAUUCCUAGAAAUUACCUUUAUUAUUAUUUUCUAUCUAGAAAUUCUAUCUCUGGAUAUUUGCACUUCUAUAGCUAUUUCUGGGCUGUUCAAUCAUAUUUGUUUCCUUCUAAGAAUGUACUGGUAUCCCAUAUUACAACUAAUGAAUUCAUCUUUCAGCUAUCUUCAUUCUCAUAUGCAAUCUAUCUAUUAGGCUUUUUAUUCAGCUGUUAACUUCUUGGCACCUAGUGUUUCUACUUGAUUAUUCUUCAGUACAUCUUAUUAAUAAUAGCUUCCCCUGUCCCUUGUUGCAUAUUUUGUCUAUUUCAAAUUCUGACUCUUCAAUUUUACUACAUCUGCUGAUACAGUGUAUAAUUUACCAUUUUAAUUUAAGGAAGAUAUAUUCCUGAAAUGUUUAAAGAAUUUAUAUCUCAGCAUUUGGGCAUUUAAUAAUAUUAUUAAUUUGGCUUAUCCCAGAAGAGACACAUAUGUUGCCUAUUAAUAUGAAGUGGGGAGAGGCAGAAGAAAGAGCCUAGCCUAGGUCAAUUCUUAGAGGUCAAAUGUUUAUGAAGGGAUGGCUUUCAGGUGAAAAACUCAAGUUACCAAAACCAGAAGUAACCACUCCUAUUUUGUUUAACUGCACCAAGUAACUUUUCAAGUUAACACUCUACAUUCAAACACCAAGGAAAAGGAAGACUGACUAAAUCGUUACCCAUCAACCCUGGAAGUUUGGAGAAAACUGAAUGAGGGAGAAAAGGCCAUGGCUGUUUUCCUCUGGUUGAUUUGCUGGAAAGCAGCAGCAGCUUGUGCUUAUUUGCAGUCUUGGCAUAAAUUGGAAACUCUCCUACAAGCGGGUUUAUGAACAGGAAACAGAAGACAACAUUGCUGUAAUAGAAUCUAAGUAGACUAUUGAAUAGUCUUCUGAGAUAUAUAAGAUCUGAAUUCUGGAAGAAACCUCAAACAUCUAAUUCUACAUUUGACUGCCCUGCUGGAAUAUUGAACUGUUAAUUCCUUUAACAAUAUGGUCUCAAGUGAAUGGACUAGAUAGACACUUUUAAAGUGUAGAAUAAAUUGAAGGAAAUUUUUACAGUUUAAAUUACUUUGAAUUUUGACUUAAAACUUGUUUUAAAAUUAUCUUAAUUCUAAUAAAUAAUGAAAAACAAAUUUGAGAAAUCAUCAGUUUUCCACAGUUGUUGGACCAAUUUACGCAGCCACCAACAGUGUAUGAGUCGUUCCCUUUUCUCAACACCCUUACCAGUAGCUGUUGGUUUUUGUUUUUUGGUUUAUUUUUAUUUUGUUUUUACUUUUUAAUAACAGACAUUCUGACCAGUGUGAGAGGGUAUCUUAUUGUGGUUUUGAUUUGUAUUUCUCUGGUGAUUAGUGAUGAUGAGCAUUUUUUCAUGUCUGUUGGCCACUUGUAAGUCUUCUGUCCUUGCCCAUUUUUUAAUGGAAUUACUUGUUCUUUGCUUGUUGAACUGAGCUCCUUACAGAUUUUUCAUAUGCAUAGUUUGUAAAUAUUUUCCCCCAUGCUGUAGGUUGUCUAUUUAUCAACAGUUUGUUUCUUUUGCUGUGUAGAAGCUCUUUAGUUGAAUUAGGUCUUGCUUGUCAAUUUUUUUUGUCACUGUUGUUAUUGCAAUUGCUUCUAGGAACUUAGUCAAACAUUCUUUGUCAAGGCCAAUUUUGAGAAGGGUAAUUCUAAGGCUUUCUUCUGUAAGUUUAAAAGUUUGAGGUUCUACUGUAACCAGGGGCGGGAGCAGGGGCAUCCCUAAGAUGUUCCCAAUUCCCCAAUCUGAGGUCCUUGGCCUCUCUUACUCUGAAGAACUGGGGAAAGGGGCUCCGAAGGUGCAGUGAGCUUACUAUUUGAAUAAAAGUCACGGACCCAAAGACUUUCGAAGAAAAAGCGAUUUAUUAGGCAGAGAGCUAGCAAGAGCGAGCUCCCACACUAAUGUGUGAGGGGAAUCCGGGAUAUCCUAUGGAUAAGGAGCAGCAGAGUUUUAACCCCGGUGUUAUAACCUCCUCGUUCAUGUUCUCAUCCAAUGAGAAGAGUUCUUUCAAACUUCCUCUGGAGUGACUGAUCCUAGACUCUGAUACUGGAUUGGCUGCUUGGUCCGCAACAGAGUCCCCAGAGCUUUCUGUUUUGUUUUUGUUUUUGGUUUUGGUUUUUUUUGGACAAAGAAGCCAACCUGGAUUCCUCUACCUAGCCCACGGGAAACCUAGACAAAGAACUUUAGGAUCCCAGAUGGCGGCAUGGAUGAUGGGUGGGGGGUCGGGGAUGGAAGCAUGGCGCUGGGAAACUCUUGCCUUUCAAACUAUGCCCCUCGUGGAACUGGGAAGAGUUUUUUUUUCCCUUAACACAGUCCCCCCAUGUUGAAAUCUUAAAUCCAUCUUGAGUUAAUAUCUGUAUAUAGUAAGCUACCAUUUGACCCCAUAAUCCCAUUAUUGUAUAUGUAUAUCCCCAAACGAAAAGAGAUCAUUAUGCCUGAAAACACAUGUACUCAUAUGUUCAUCUCUGUGCUAAUCACAAUAGCAAAGACAUGGAAUCAAGCUAGAUGCCCAUCAAUAAUGGAAUGAAUUUUUUUAAAUGUAGUAUAUAUACACUAUGAACUACAACAUAGCCAUAGAAAAGAAUGAAAUCAUGUUCUCUGCAGCAAUGUGAAUAGGGCUAGAGGUCAUAAUCAUAGGUGAGCUAUCACAGAAAGAAAAACCCAAAUAUGGCAUGCUUUCACUUAUAAGUGGGAGCUAAACAUUGAGCACACAUGGACAGAAAUAUGGGAACAACAGACACUGCAGAUUACUAGAGUAGGGAGGAAGAGAGGGGGACACGGGUUGACAAAACUAUUUGGGUACUAUGCUUACGAUCUGGAUACAAUAUACCUAUGAAACAAACCUAAACUGUGUACCCCAGUAUCUAAAAUAGAGGUUGAAUUUUAUCAAAAUAAUAAAAUAGUUACAAGAGAAAAAAAUAGAUUUAACUACUAGUAAACUUUACAGAUAAAUUGCAAAGUUGUAUGUAAAGUGCCUAGAUCCCUACGUUUAGCUGGGACAUAUAUUUGAGAAAACCUGUCUCCAGCUCUUCAAAUAUAAUUCGCAUUGUGGUUGCUUGAAUUCACAGUUUUGAAGCAAUCAUCCCAUAACGCUCCUGGCAGUGGUGGUGAAAAUAAAUCGAAGUGUGUUUAAGCCCAUAUUUUUGAAGCAUAUUAACUGUCCUAAUGCCAAUCUGUUAAUAGCCUCAUGCCAGGAAUAUUUUUUUACAUUUUGGUUUUACUUAUAGUCCCAGAUAUAGAGCCAACAUUAAAUGAAAGCUAACUAAACAACUAUUUGAGAGUUCCUAGGACCUACUCUUUUCCAACCAUCUCUCUAAGUGUACUACACUGGUUCCU